rnacentral:rRNA from 1 species
GAUGAACGCUGGCGGCGUGCCUAAUACAUGCAAGUCGAGCGAACAGACGAGGAGCUUGCUCCUCUGACGUUAGCGGCGGACGGGUGAGUAACACGUGGAUAACCUACCUAUAAGACUGGGAUAACUUCGGGAAACCGGAGCUAAUACCGGAUAAUAUAUUGAACCGCAUGGUUCAAUAGUGAAAGACGGUUUUGCUGUCACUUAUAGAUGGAUCCGCGCCGCAUUAGCUAGUUGGUAAGGUAACGGCUUACCAAGGCAACGAUGCGUAGCCGACCUGAGAGGGUGAUCGGCCACAUUGGAACUGAGACACGGUCCAGACUCCUACGGGAGGCAGCAGUAGGGAAUCUUCCGCAAUGGGCGAAAGCUUGACGGAGCAACGCCGCGUGAGUGAUGAAGGUCUUCGGAUCGUAAAACUCUGUUAUUAGGGAAGAACAAAUGUGUAAGUAACUAUGCACGUCUUGACGGUACCUAAUCAGAAAGCCACGGCUAACUACGU